rnacentral:rRNA from 1 species
CCUACGGGAGGCAGCAGUAGGGAAUCUUCCACAAUGGACGAAAGUCUGAUGGAGCAACGCCGCGUGAGUGAAGAAGGGUUUCGGCUCGUAAAGCUCCGUUGGUAGUGAAGAAAGAUAGAGGUAGUAACUGGCCUUUAUUUGACGGUAAUUACUUAGAAAGUCACGGCUAACUACGUGCCAGCAGCCGCGGUAAUACGGAGGUGGCAAGCGUUUUCCGGAUUUAUUGGGCGUAAAGCGAGUGCAGGCGGUUUCAUAAGGC